ensembl:lncRNA
AGGGGGCUUCCGAAGGGUGGGCCCAUCUCCACCUAGAUGACGCUGACAUCAGCACGAGGCAGAGAGAGCCACUCUGUGAACAGCAGCCACCUGUCGGCACAGGCAACACCAGACUCUCGAGGAGGCGGGAGAAGGGCUGAGGUUCGAACUCACAGCAAAGCCCAGAGACUCGGUUCUGAAUGAUUUAGAACGGUUCAGGGGCCAAAGGCAAGGAGUGGCUGCUCUGGGUCUCGGCUCCUGUUUCACCUUCCGGCAGGGCGUGGGGCAGGGGAAGGGAGGGGUGCCUCAUUUGCAAACCCAUCUCCACUUCCUCUAAGGGCCAGGGUGGAUGUGACAACCGGCCUCAUAAGCACAGCCCUCGAGGGAGUUAAAGAGGAAACGGCAGGGCCAACCCAAUUCCAGAAGCCCUGCUGAANNNNNNNNNNNNNNNCUGCUGAACGCUUGCAGGGCCUCUAGUGUAUCCUGACAGCUCUAAGGGCGACUCCGAGAGGCCUAAUCCAACCUCGGGAGGUGAGGAGACCACCUCCUUCGUCAGAAAUGGCUCGGGCCCCGGAAGAAACGCAGGUUCAUUCCACAUUUGUCCACAACAUGCCCCAGUAUUCCUGAAAACCUGCAGACGUGCCAGCGGCUGCUGUCGUUGUCGCGUUACUGUCAUCGUCCCCUACCGGGGCCAGAGGAACCAGGGUGUGGUGCAGACUUGUCCGACCCUCAGGAAGCGCAUUUCACUAAGUCAGCAGCUAAGCUCUACAGCCAGGCCUCAGAGCACCUCCCAAACCCGCCAGCUGGCCUUCGCCCCACGUAGAAGGGGCCUCGCCCUGCUCAGGAGCCUCCUCUGGAAGAGAUGCCAAGCAGGCACGAGCAGGAAGGGGCAAUGCCUGCCUCCUUGGCCAGGAGGAAGCCCCAGGGAGGUGGCACAACCAGCCAGAUAACAGAGGGAAUGACUGUGCACUUGGGCAUUUCCACCACCGCGCACCUUGAACCAUACAACCCGGGGAACCAGAAAACCUAAACCUGCCUUCUGAAAGGCACGUCCACUUCAGUGAUCUCAAACAUCUUCCAGAGCCAAGCAGGGAAUAGAAACAAGUGAAGCCUAAUGGGCAGGAACUGUUUUGCCGAGCAGGGAGCCCCCGGGGGGCUGGAUGGCUGGCUACCCCUGCCUGGCUGUGGGCGGGGGAAAGAGGACCCAGGAUAAUACUAUAUUAAAGAUCUUCUGAUGUGUCAGAAAAAGCUGACCAUCUAGACUUCUUUGUACAAUCUUGGUUUUUAAAUGUUGUCAAGAAAUGCGGAAGUGCCUAGAGCACCCUGGGGGCCAAACAAACUCUGCCAGGGGACCACAUCUGGCCCCCAGACCAUGGGCGCACAGCCUCUGCUCUAAAGGACACUGACUACUCAAGCUCCGAAGUCACCCGGACAACCGCACUUCAUCUCUGUUUCAAGAGCCUGAUGGCUGCGCCCUGAGUACCCCACAGUCACGCAUAUCCAUCUGUAUCACUCCUGGCUGGUUCUGAGUUAGAGGAAGCCCUAAAAAGGACUAGAAAGCGCAGACUGUCUGAAAUUCAGAGCACACCAGGGCAGCACCAUGACGCUCGCAAUCCCUAACGGCAGAGGCCUGCCUUCCCAGCCGCGUGAUCAGAGAGGUGCGUGAGCUGCGGUCUUACUGGGAGCAGAGGACGGCCCGGGUCUGGCCCACCCUCACUGGAGGGGCUCCCUUCCAGCCUCUCCCACAGUGGGGUAUUAGGGAAGGGGGGCUUCCAUGCCAAGUUCUUUAAACAAAUCCAAGUAAAGCCGGCAGACGGAAGAGAUGGUUCUAGAGCCCCAAUGCCUACACGUGGCUGGCUUCCUCGAUCACAACUCCCGCACAGAACACAGGGUUCUGUUUUGAUGACCUCUAUGCAAGAUACAGAAAUGAGACGGGGGUUUCCUGCUUCU